rnacentral:piRNA from 1 species
UCCUUUUGUUUGAGAUGAGUUGUAUGGUU